rnacentral:rRNA from 1 species
AAGAAAGCAGGAAAGGGCGCAUGGCGGAUGCCUUGGCUCACGGAGGCGAUGAAGGACGUGAUAAGCUGCGAUAAGCCCCGGGUAGGUGCAAAUGACCUUUGAUCCGGGGAUUUCCGAAUGGGACAACCCGGCAGGCUGGAGGCCUGUCAUCACUACGGAUGUAGUGAGGCGAACGGAGGGAACUGAAACAUCUUAGUACCUCCAGGAAGAGAAAAUAAACUAAUGAUUCCCCCAGUAGCGGCGAGCGAACGGGGAAGAGCCCAAACCGGCGGCGUAGCGAUGCGCCUCCGGGGUUGUAGGACCACGCAGUCGUACUUGGAUUGUGAGAAGAAUGUUCUGGAAAGAACAAUCAUAGAGGGUGAUAAUCCCGUAUUCGAAGCAUGACGAGACGUAGUGGUAUCCUGAGUAACGCGGAACACGUGAAAUUCUGCGCGAAUCCGCCGGGACCAUCCGGCAAGGCUAAAUACUCCCGUGAGACCGAUAGUGUACGAGUACCGUGAGGGAAAGGUGAAAAGCACUCCGACGAGGAGAGUGAAAGAGUUCCUGAAACCAUGCGCCUACAAGCGGUCGGAGCCGCGCGAGCGGUGACGGCGUGCCUUUUGCAUAAUGAACCUACGAGUUGCCGUGUCCGGCGAGGAUAAGCGUCACGAGACGCGCAUCCGCAGUGAAAGCGAGCCUGAACAGGGCGUCGAGUCAGACGGGGCAGACGCGAAACCAAGUGAUCUACACUUGCCCAGGCUGAAGUCCGGGUAACACCGGAUGGAGGGCCGCACGGAUAAGCGUUGAAAAGCUUCCCGAUGAGGCGAGUGUAGGAGUGAAAGGCCAAUCAAACUUGGAGAUAGCUCGUACUCCCCGAAAGGCAUUUAGGUGCCGCGUGCGGCGUUGUCCGCGAGAGGUAGAGCGACCGGUAGGUCGAGAGGGCUUCACCGCCUGUCGAGACCUGACGAACUCCGAAUGCUCUCGGAUCGGAGCCGUGCAGUAAGGGGGCGGGUGCUAAGGUCCGUCCCCGAGAGGAGAAGAAUCCAGACCGCCGUCUAAGGUCCCGGAAUUCUGCCUGAGUUAGUCUAACGAAGUCCGGUCCCCGUGACAGCUAGGAUGUUGGCUUGGAAGCAGCCAUUCAUUCAAAGAGUGCGUAACAGCUCACUAGUCGAGGGUCCGGGCGUGGAUAAUAAUCGGGUAUAAGGCAGAUACCGAAGGCGCGGGAUAGCAAUGUAUAUUGAAAGUAUCGGUAGGGGAGCAUUCCAUCGGCGUUGAAUGGUGAGGGAAACUGAUCCUGGAGCUUAUGGAAAAGCAAAUGUAGGUAUGAGUAACGAUAAAAAGGGUGAGAUUCCCUUUCGCCGAAAGACCGAGGUUUCCCGGGCGAUGCCAAUCAGCCCGGGGUUAGUCGGGUCCUAAGUCUCAGCCGAAUGGCGAAGGCGAUGGCAGAUGCGGUUAAUAUUCCGCAACUCGCAUGUACAGUGAUGUGGAGACGGAGCAGUGACACUGCCGCGCCCUGACGGAACAGGGCGUUUAAGUGCGUAGGCUUUGAGGGAGGCAGGCAAAUCCGCCUUCCGAGCUGAACCAUGAAAGUACAGGUGAUCCUCCGGGAUGACCUGAGUGCAGGUAACCAUACUUCCGAGAAAAUCCGCUAAACUUAAUGUGCAUGCGACCCGUACCGCAAACGGACACACGUGGUCGGGUAGAACAUACUGAGGCGUUGAGAGAUUCAUGGUUAAGGAACUAGGCAAAUUGACCCCGUAACUUCGGGAUAAGGGGUCCUCAUGGCGACAUGAGGCGCAGAGAAUAGGUCCAGGCAACUGUUUAACAAAAACACAGGGCUGUGCGAACUCGAAAGAUGAAGUAUACAGCCUGACACCUGCCCGGUGCUGGAAGGUUAAGAGGAGAUGUCACACAUUCGUGGAAGCAUUGAAUUGAAGCCCCAGUAAACGGCGGCCGUAACUAUAACGGUCCUAAGGUAGCGAAAUUCCUUGUCGGGUAAGUUCCGACCUGCACGAAUGGUGUAAUGAUCCGGACGCUGUCUCGACCAUGAUCUCAGUGAAAUUGUAGUAUCGGUGAAGAUGCCGAUUACCCGCGAUGGGACGAAAAGACCCCGUGAACCUUUACUACAGCUUAGCAUUGACCUCGGUCAUCCGAUGUGCAGGAUAGGCCGGAGGCUUUGAAUCGGGUGCGCCAGCAUUCGUGGAGCCGCCCUUGAAAUACGGCCCUUUGGCUGUCUGAGGUCUAACGCGCAGAUAGUGCGGACACUGCUUGGCGGGUAGUUUGACUGGGGUGGUCGCCUCCAAAAGCGUAACGGAGGCUUCCAAAGGUGCCCUCGGACCGAUCGGUAACCGGUCUCAUGGAGUGCAAUGGCAUAAGGGCGCUUGACUGGGAGGCAGACAUGCCGAGCAGGUGGGAAACCAGGGCAUAGUGAUCCGGCGGACGUGCAUGGAAACUCCGUCGCUCAAAGGAUAAAAGGUACUCCGGGGAUAACAGGCUGAUCCCCCCCAAGAGCUCAUAUCGACGGGGUGGUUUGGCACCUCGAUGUCGGCUCGUCACAUCCUGGGGCUGGAGAAGGUCCCAAGGGUUGGGCUGUUCGCCCAUUAAAGUGGCACGCGAGCUGGGUUCAGAACGUCGUGAGACAGUUCGGUCUCUAUCUAUCGUGGGCGCUGGAGUUUUGCGCGGUGCCGUCACUAGUACGAGAGGACCGUGACGGACAGACCUCCGGUCAGCCGGUUGUGCCGCCAGGUGCACCGCCGGGUAUCUGAGUCUGGAACGGAUAAGCGCUGAAAGCAUCUAAGCGCGAAGCCGGCCGCAAGAUGAGAACUCCUCACGAGGGCCGUCACAGACGAUGACGUUGAUAGGGUGCAGGUGUAAAGACGGCGACGUCAAAGCCGAGCACUACUAAUUGCCCGAAACUUUCUUCG